rnacentral:rRNA from 1 species
UACGGAAUGUGCAAACGUUAUUCGGAAUCACUGGGCUUAAAGAGUCCGUAGGCGGCAUGUUAGGUGAGGUGUGAAAUCCCACGGCCUAACCGUGGAAUUGCGCUUCAAACCGGCGUGCUAGAGGAAGAUAGAGGUGGGCGGAACUGAUGGUGGAGCGGUGAAAUGCGUUGAUAUCAUCAGGAACACCGGAGGCGAAGGCGGUCCACUGGGUCCUAUCUGACGCUGAGGGACGAAAGCUAGGGGAGCGAACGGG